GCCAAGUCAACGGUCCAAGUCAACAGUCCAAGUCAACGGUCCAAUAUCUGCCCAAGAUAUCUACUAUGGACUUCAUUCAGAAAUGUAUGGGUAACGAUCAAAUCGCAGAAAUAGCAGGAGAAAAAGCAGGUGACAUCGUUACCGAUAUUACAAAGAAAGUUCUCUGUGGCACCAAGGACGGAGGGGAUGAAGGUUCAGACAGCAAAGGAGGACCUGGUCUUGGUGACCUUGCAAAACUAGCUAGUGGUGCUGUGGGUGACAAAGACAAAGAUGUGGGUGUCAGUGACGUACUCAAUUUUCUUAAAUGAGACGGAGGUGUAUGAGGACCAGACCAGUUCUGGGUAAAACCAUCGUCUGAUCACAUGACCACCUCCUGACCAAUCCUUCAUCUGGGCUCUCCUCAGCCUCCAUCAGGAGCUUCUAAGAUUGAUUUAAAUGUGGAGGGAUUCUUUUUAUCUUUAGUGUCAGUAUACUGAAGUUUUUAAGUUUUCAUUAAAAUAUGCUUAAACUACAAUAAUUUAUCCGAUUAAUCUGAUUAGAUUGAUCAAUCUGAUGAAAAUGAUUAAUCUGAUUAAUCUGAUUAAUUCAUCUUUCUUUGGUUGUGAGAACACAUGAAUGUAUAGAACAUGUAUCUGUGAUGAGUGAACAGGAUCUGUCAUCAAUAAAACAGCUACAGAUAAAACAGUUUCAUGUAUUUUAGUGAAGGAUGAGAACACUUACUACAAGCUUAUUGAAGCCCUUGUUUUUUUGGUAUUUGAAUAAUUGAAUGAUGUUUUAUUUUACA